rnacentral:rRNA from 1 species
UACGAAGGGGGCUAGCGUUGCUCGGAAUCAACUGGGCGUAAAGGGUGCGUUAGGCGGGUCUUUUAAGUCAGGGGUGAAAAUCCGUGGAGCUCAACUCCAGAACUGCCGUUUAGAUACUGAGGAUCGUUGAGUUCGGGAGAGGUGAGUGGAACGUGCGAAGUGUAGAGGUGAAAUUCGUAGAUAUUCGCAAAGGAACGACCAGUGGCGGA